ACCAAAAAAAAAGUCAUAUUGAUAAGGUCGCGAAAUUGAUAGCAAAACAUUCUAAACAAAGAGAUACAGAAGAAACUUUUGUUGUCGCUAAGCUUCAAGCCUUAAUGAGGAUUUCUCAAGUCAUUGAAGCUCACCAGGAGAAAUUCAGCACCAGAAGAUGGUCUUAUUCGUGCCGCAAGAGGAAAAUUUGUGCUCUUUUGCCAACAUUCAUACAUUGAAAAUGAAGCCAUAAAUUAUUGAAGAUGCAAAUUAAUCAUUAUGCAAAAAUUAUGUACAUGCCUUCCUGACUUGCAGAGUGAGUCCGCGUGUUAUAUGUGGCCCCUUACAAAUUGAUGAAAGAUAAAUUGGGAGGCACUUGUUCAAGUCCAUGCAAAGUGCUGAGAAUAUAUUGCAGAUUGGUGCAAAACAUCCUUUUUGAUCGACAAUGGAAGGCCAUUCUGCUGAUGUCUCUACAAGAUUGCUGAUCUGGACAGGGCAGACGGGAAAACACUCAAAAUUAUAUUAUUUUUGAAUAAAGGUUGAAGCACA